rnacentral:lncRNA from 10 species
CAACAUGAUUAUGGCCACCUGUCUGUCUACAGAAAACCCAAGUGGAACCACCUUGUCCACAAAUUCGUCAUUGGCCACUUAAAGCUCUGGUUCCACACCUGGUGACGGAGAGGCAGAGACUGGCUGCCACACCUGCUGGAGCGCUCACCGUGUGGUCCCUCAGCAGCACGCCUCAUCUGCCACCAUCGUCUUAUGAUCAGGGAAACUGAAGCCUAGAGAGAUAAAGUGACUUCACUCCAUCUGGGGCUGGCGCAUGCUCUGAGCUCAGUCAUGGCAGGGCUGGAUUCUGGCCUUGUGGGGGCCUGAAGUGCUAUCCCCGAGGGUUGAAGGUUCCGGGAACUGCUCCUAAGAAGGGCCUGUUACAAGCGAGCUCGGUUCCCUGGUGGCUUGCAUGGCUCAUCCCCACCCCUCUCUCCCCACAGGGUGCC